AGAGUUUGAUCAUGGCUCAGGAUGAACGCUGGCGGCGUGCCUAACACAUGCAAGUCGAACGGGUGCGCGGCGGGGAAGGCUCCGGCCGGAAGCGCGGCGCAUGAGUGGCGGACGGGUGAGUAACGCGUGGGCAACCUGCCCUGUACAGGGGGAUAACACCUGGAAACAGGUGCUAAUACCGCAUAACGGGGGAGGCCGCAUGGCCUCCUCCUGAAAACUCCGGUGGUACAGGAUGGGCCCGCGUCUGAUUAGCCAGUUGGCAGGGUAACGGCCUACCAAAGCGACGAUCAGUAGCCGGCCUGAGAGGGCGGACGGCCACACUGGGACUGAGACACGGCCCAGACUCCUACGGGAGGCAGCAGUGGGGGAUAUUGCACAAUGGGGGGAACCCUGAUGCAGCGACGCCGCGUGGGUGAAGAAGCGCUCCGGCGCGUAAAGCCCUGUCAGCAGGGAAGAAGGUGACGGUACCUGACCAAGAAGCCCCGGCUAACUACGUACCAGCAGCCGCGGUAAUACGUAGGGGGCAAGCGUUAUCCGGAUUUACUGGGUGUAAAGGGGGCGCAGACGGCUGUGCAAGCCAGGAGUGAAAGCCCGGGGCCCAACCCCGGGACUGCUCUUGGAACUGCCUGGCUGGAGUGCA
rnacentral:rRNA from 1 species